AAUGCAUAGGAAUCUGCCCAUGUAUGGGGGACAACCUGGGGAAACUCAGGCUAAUACCGCAUGAGCCCUUCGGGGGAAAGCAGGGGAUCUUCGGACCUUGCGCUAUUGGAUGAGCCUAUGCCUGAUUAGCUUGUUGGUGGGGUAACGGCCUACCAAGGCGACGAUCAGUAGCUGGUCUGAGAGGACGAUCAGCCACACUGGGACUGAGACACGGCCCAG
rnacentral:rRNA from 1 species